rnacentral:rRNA from 1 species
UACGGAGGGUGCAAGCGUUUGUCCGGAUUUAUUGGGUUUAAAGGGUGCGUAGGCGGUCUUUUAAGUCAGUGGUGAAAUCCUCCAGCUUAACUGGAGAACUGCCAUUGAUACUGGGAGACUUGAGUACAGACGAGGUAGGCGGAAUUGACAGUGUAGCGGUGAAAUGCAUAGAUAUUGUCAAGAACACCGAUUGCGAAGGCAGCUUACUAGACUGUAACUGACGCUGAGGCACGAAAGUGUGGGGAUCAAACAGG